UAGGGAAUCUUCCACAAUGGGACGAAAGUCUAGAUGGAGCAACGCCGCGUGAGUGAAGAAGGGUUUCGGCUCGUAAAACUCUGUUGUUAAAGAAGAACAUAUCUGAGAGUAACUGUUCAGGUAUUGACGGUAUUUAACCAGAAAGCCACGGCUAACUACGUGCCAG
rnacentral:rRNA from 1 species